AUGUUCAAACUGAAUUACCGAGGCUAGUGUACUGCAUUUUUUUCCAAACUCCUUUUUUGAAGUUUGCAUGGUUGAGUUUAGUGAGCUGCACUAUUCUUUUCUCUGUUGAAGCUUAAUCGAGACACUUGGGCAAAUGAAGCGGUGGCUCAAACAAUCAGGUCAAACUUGAUUUUCUGGCAGGUUGGUCCUCCUUGCAUUCUCCUUCCAUAUCUGCUUGGAUCUGAACCUCUAAAUUUGUAUUUCAUCUACCAUGUGUUAUAAUCACAUCUGCAUCGGUACCUUGAUAAAUGUUAUUGGGGACGUUAACACAGUACAUUAGACAUUUUCAUCUGUUAUGUCUUGUAAUUAUAUGCAAGAAAAUUGUUUAAGACAUGACAUGAUGACAGUGCUUUGAUAAUAAAUCUAACACCAAUUCCGUUUGGUACAUAUAAAUAUUAUUUGUACUGGGGUGCUUCUGCCGUUCUGUGCUUCGCUCUUCUAUGGUUGCACAACUGCUAACAAACCAAAGUUGAAGUCCACCAACUUAACCAGUCAAGUGCUUCAAGAUUCAUGCAACUCUUGUAAAAAAUGUGAAGUGCUCAUGUUCUCUGUGUAUUGGUGAUCAAAUACUAGAAUGUUUGACUGCGUGUAUUCUAAAUUGACCUCUAUGUACACACAUGGACCAUGGAGAAAAUAUACUGGCAAGAGAAAAAGUUCUAGUUAUAUGGUUCAAUUUCUCCCCUAGAUGGAACCAUGUCUGUGCACUUCAAAGUUUUUUGUUGAUAUGUUAUAUCCUGUUAAACAUAGGUUUACCAAGAUACCGGUGAGGGGAGGAAGGUAUGCACCUACUACCAUUUGGUCUCUGUUCCUGCCAUUCUCCUAAUUGACCCCAUCACUGGACAAAAAAUGCGUGGUUGGAGUGGAAUGGUUUACCCGGACAGUUUGCCGGAGGUAUUUUCGCAGCCCUGUCUUUCAUCUUACGUUGCUCUGCAGUGGUAGACUGGCAGUAGCCUCUACAAUGCGGAUGCUCAAAUACUAGGUGGAUAUACUGUUAUGACAUGAGCAUCCCUUACUAUUUUCUGCAUGUUCACUGUACACAGGAUUUGAUGCCUUACCUGGAGAAAGGUCCAAAGGAGCACCAUGCUGCUCAACCUAAAAAACGCCCAAGAAAAGUUGACCAGGAAACCUCUAUGGUUAGGCAAGGUAUUAUUUAUGUGGAUUUAGUUAGUUCCAUACUGGCAGUGUUGACUAUGCUAUCCAGAAAGUCAUAUUUUUUGUAACAUCCUGCUUCCGCUGUGUUCACUCUUUACAUUUUCUAGAUCCACAUUAUUGGUUUCUAUAUUUUAAGUGUUAACUUUCGGUGGAAAUAAAAGAAAAACAAAGUUGGAUAGUAUUUUUCAAUUACCGAGGCUAGUGUACUGCAUUUUUUUCCAAACUCCUUUUUUGAAGUUUGCAUGGUUGAGUUUAGUGAGCUGCACUAUUAUUUUUCAAUUUUUUCCUCACUUUUUUAUGAAUGCAUCUCAGACAAGGCAAGUGUACUGCAUCAACAAUAGCAUGUAUCAAAGUGAAGUACUAAGCGAGCAUUUUUUAUCGAGUAUAUACUACAGGGACGCGGUGAGUCUACUGCAUCAAUUUUUCUUCCAAUAUUUUUCUACCACACACAACAAACAAAGUGAGCUGCAUAAAAAAAUCAACCUUUUCUAAAAAAAUUGCACUUGGCAACAUAGUGAACCUCUGGGAGAAAGAAGAUUACAAGGCACUCAAACAGGUGAGCUGCAUUUCAAAAAGGUACUGUUGUUUUCUUCAGUGCAUGUUUUUUCGAGAGAGUUGCGAUUGGUACGUCCCUGGACUCAAGACAACUGCAAUGCUGCUCCUUAUAAUCCACAGUACAAACACAUACAAGAUGACAAUGAGGAAGUACUUAAAAAAGAAAUCAACAUUUUAUCUGUGAAAUGCAAGCCGGUCGCCGGCGCACUGCUUUCCAACCCCCAUAGCAUUGCACCUGUGCACCCAUGGGACUGCAACCAAAAUCUGAAAAACGCAAAAAUGUCAACCGUCAGCAAACUACACACAAAACAACACCCCAUCUUCACGGACUGCACCCACAUGGGCGCGGCACUGCACGCCCAUGCCCGACGAGCUGCAUGCCCAAGUUGCGCGAACCGAGACCCACUCGCCGAUGAGCUGCAAGUCCUCGAUGAAGAAGAAUUCGUUGGCGCCCAUACUGCAAGGUGGCGAGUAGUCAAGGAGGAGUACUCUAGGGGCAAAACCAAACUACACGACCAUAUCAACCAGAGCCAGAAAAGACACCGCGACUCCCCUGCUGCUUCAAAAAAGAUAUAGUUGUGUCACUCGCCGGAGUAUUGCCUUUUUUGUCUUCAGAGUGAACCGAAGAUUUCUUUUUUGUCAAAACAAACUGCACUGUUUUUCUUAGCAGUUUUUCCCAAGGAAUAUAAAAGAGAACCUCUUGAACGCAAGAAAGUGAACCUCUCGACACAUGUUAGCACACAGCCAGCUCGCAUCAUACACAAGUGUUUUCUCAAACAAUAAAAC
rnacentral:lncRNA from 1 species